rnacentral:rRNA from 1 species
UAGCAUAUCAAUAAGCGGAGGAAAAGAAACCAACAGGGAUUGCCUUAGUAACGGCGAAGUGAAGCGGCAAAAGCUUCAAAUUUGAAAUCUGGCAUCUUCGGUGUCCGAGUUGUAAUUUGAAAGAUUGAAAGGUUCAUUGGGUCUUGUCUAUGUUCCUUGGAAUAGGACGUCACAGAGGGUGAGAAAUCCCGUGCGAUGAGAUUCCGUAUUGUAACCUUCUUUCGACGAGUCGAGUUGUUUGGGAAUGCAGCUCUAAGUGGGUGGUAAAUUCCAUCUAAAGCUAAAUAUUGGCGAGAGACCGAUAGCGAACAAGUACAGUGAUGGAAAGAUGAAAAGAACUUUGAAAAGAGAGUGAAAAAGUACGUGAAAUUGUUGAAAGGGAAGGAUAUGAGAUCAGACUUGGUAUUUUGCAACCUUACUCUCGUGGUGGGGCCCCUGCAGUUUACUGGGCCAGCAUCAAUUUGGAUGAUGGGAUAAUGACUCAGGAAUGUAGCUCUAUUUUUUGUGGAGUGUUAUAGCCUGUGUUGAUACCGUCUAUCUAGAUUGAGGACUGCGUCUUUUGACAAGGAUGUUGGCAUAAUGAUCUUAUAUCACCCGUCUUGAAACACGGACCAAGGAGUCUAACGUCUAUGCGAGUGUUUGGGUGUAAAACCCGUACGCGUAAUGAAAGUGAACGUAGGUGAGAGCUCUUUGAGUGCAUCAUCGACCGAUCCUGAUGUUCUCGGAUGGAUUUGAGUAAGAGCAUAGCUGUUGGGACCCGAAAGAUGGUGAACUAUGCCUGAAUAGGGUGAAGCCAGAGGGAAACUCUGGUGGGAGGCUCGUAGCGAUUUCUGACGUGCAAAUCGAUCGUCGAAAUUUGGGUAAUAGGGCGAAAGACUAAUCGAACCAUCUAGUAGCUGGGUUCCUGCCGA